CUCCCAAGGGGGAAGGAUCUCUAUCUAGAGAUCCUCCCUCUUGGAGCCCUUUUGUGAGCCCAAGAUAUGGGACUGGUUUUCAGCUGGGUAGGCUUCUGUCACUGUUGAAGCAAGAAGAUGAAGCAGCGUCCUGUGAAACAGCAGAGGUAAGAUGUUGGAUGCAUUUUGUUGCAGAUAGAAUCGUUCUUUCUCUCCUGUUUCAAAAUUCCUCAUAGACAGAUCAGCUGGUCAAGCUUCCAUGUCUCAUCUUGACUUUGAAGACAGUCACCAUCUUUGACUGCUGAAUUUCUGAGGUUUCCAGAAUUUCAGUUUCAACAUAGAUGUCUCCUUAAAUCUAAAAACAUGGCAAUUUUUUAUUAUUUUUAUAUAUUUUUUAUUUUUUUAUUUUUAUUUUUUUUUUGCUUGGUGAAAUGGAAGAUAGAUUAUUUGCUUUAUGAAAAAAGGUCAAAACCUGAACUGUUUUAAGAGGUAUUCAAUUCAGCAGUUACUGUGACUAACACCAGCUUGAGGAACAGUGCUAAAUUAUUUUGGGGAACCAGAAAUUCAUGUGAAUAGACAUAAUAUUUUUAGGUUUUUGGUUCUAAAUUACCACUCAGGUGGGAAGAAACUGGGAAGCUAUCUGAUGAUUAAUAUGAAAGUACUUUCUGGUUGUCAUCUUACUCUCAGUAAAAAAUAAUAUAUCGCCAAAAAGAAAACUGCAAACCAACAAGCCCUGCAUCACAAUUGGUAGUGACUGCCACACAAGGAGAUGGUGUAUAGAAGAUGAAGAAAAAAAAAGCAACAACAAAUGAGAUGGUUUCACUUCUUCCUUAGGGAGAACAACAAGAAUUUACAGACAUAGAAGAAGCACCACUCCUAGUACCACAGAUGCUCUAACAAGGACUCAGGUGUAUCACUUGCUUCAUGUUUUUGAACAGAUUGCUAACUGUAUUCUAAACCUGAACCACCUACUGAAGACCUGCAGGAAAAAAAAAAAAAAAAAAAAAGUGGAAGAAUUGUGGAUAUCCUAAUUUGAGAGGAGGUUAUAGCACAAUAUUAUUAAGAUCAAACUGCCUCUUGCCUCAAAUCAAGAAGAAAACCACUCUUCUUUGACUAAAGCCAGCUCCAGCUCUGAAGAAAAGCAGCAUGGCUUGCCUGACACUCUUGGUACAGAAGCUUCUCCAGCAGAGGUUCCUGCCAAUGAGAGACGAGAUCAGCUCACAUCAGAGGGAGGUCACUGGAUUCCUUGAAAAGAAGAGGUGGCUGUGCGUGUCUUCCUGUCCCUAUGCUUUCCUAAGCUACAGGGUAGCACUGAUCUUCCUCAGCAAGUUCAGUGCCUUGAAGCAACAGGAUCCCUGCCAGCCCACCAGGAUAGUGACAUCUGUGCUCCUGCAUACCAGUGUUUGGGAAGUAGGCAUGAUACCUGACAUCCAGCACAGUCAGGAACGAGCCAAAUCAAGAUGGGAAGGAGAGAAACUCUGGAUCUAUAGAGUAAGUAGCCUUAGUUGUUCCAUGUAUGCCUGGCUAAUCUGUCAGUAUUAAGGAAGACACUUGAAUGUUGAAGGAAAACAGAAAGCAAAGAAAAAAUCCCAGUGUCCAAGCGCAUUCUCUUGUAUGCUAUAUGAACAUAUAGUGGGAUUGCCUGGGAUUGGCCUCCCUGGAGGUAUUCAAGGCCAGAUUGGAUAUGGCCUGCCCACAGCAGGGAGUUGGGUCUCAAUAAUCUUUAAGGUCUCUUCCAACCUAGACUAUUCUAUGAUUCUAUGGUUCCAUGUAAAUCAUAGUAUUUUGUAGAAGUUUGUUUUUUCACCAUUUAUGGGGAAAAUUCAAGGUACUGUUCUCAUAAUGAUGAAAUAUUUCACAAUUAUGAGUUGCUUAAGGUAUUGUAAAUGAAUGCUAUGAGCUAUGUGUGUGUGAUAUUUGACAUAUUAAGGAUGCACUAUUGCAACACAGAAUGUCAUAUAAAACCAAAGGGAAGUAAUUCAGAGCAAAAUAUUUUAAAUGAUCUUGUACUGAUUUUUUGUGUAUUUUUUUUUCUCUCUCUCUUUUUUUUUUUUUAAGGAUUUACAGUUGCAGGAAAUGAUUUUUCCAGGAGUAGCUCUUAUUCUAACUAGGAAUUAGAAUUAUUGAAAUGUUGAAUGGCCUGCUAACAAAAAUUUCAGUUCCCAGCUGACUCUGUCCACUAGUUUAUCAACAUAUUUUUGGACUCCACUGAAACAAUCCACGGCAAAGACAACAGAUAGCCCUAGGAAUUUGUGCAGGCUAUUGAGUCUUUCCAUUGUGGGCUGCUGGUUCAAAUCCUAGUGGACCUGUAGGGGAACAAGGAAAAGCUGAUACCAUGACUUUAGCUGUGUGGUAUGAGUUUUCCUCCCUGGGUAUAGGUGACAGCAACAGAAUUAGCAUUAAUUAGUCCACUUUGAAAUUUCAGCCAAGGUUUGACAUGGCAAAGUGGGGAAGCCUACUGCGCUGCAGACUGAGCUGUGCUUGCUCUGUGGAUGAAAAUAUAGCUUCCCUUUUCCAGGUCCAGUCCAGGCACUUUUCAUUAAUACUGUCACUGUGAAGCCAUAGGGAAAGCUAAGAGAGCUGCUUAAUAACUAGCAAGAACAAUAGAAGAGUAUCAUCAGACUAGGUAAUUGGUUAGAGAUAGUACCCUGGGAAGACAAGGACUAAAAGCAGUGAACUGCAGCCAGCCACACAAUCCAAGGUAACAGGCAGUGAGCUCUGGAUUAGCAACCAAGGCAACUUUAAUAAUUUAACUGUAGCAUUCACAGUAAUUUAACUAUGCUAUCCAGAACACAAAGCUAAUGGUGAUAUAGUGAAUGCAGGUAAUAUUCAGAAAGUUUGUUAAAUGCCAGUACAUAAAAGAGUCUCCGUGGAGAAGGCCAAUAUUCAGAUUUGUUGCUCUUGUUUUCUUUCUCCUUUUUCUCAGAUAGCAAGCAUUUAGUUUGUGAUAGUUAUUUGCUAGCUAGUAAGGGAAGAUGGGCUGUUUCAGAAGUUCCUAUUGACAGCCAGCUUACAGAGUGUAACAGGCUAACACAUUUUGCUGUCUUUGAAAACUGAAUAACAAAUGUUUUUGCUAUUUACAAGCCAGAAAUGAAUCGAUGGAUCUGAGUUAGAGAGCACACUCCCAAAACAUGCCAACACAUUUCUGCAUGCACUGCUUGCAAACUCUGCCUUCAUCCAAAUUAACAUCCUAAUUUGUGAAGGCUGCAAAAAAAAAAGUAUAAUUCAGAAUACAGAAUUGUUGUAGCUCAAAACAGACUCUCAAAAUUUAUUUUAUAGCUUGCCCACACACAGAGUUCUAGCACUCCACUGCUGAGAAUAAAAUGGUAGAACCUCUCUCUAAGGAUUACACCCACCACUUUAUUGCUGAAGAUGCUAGCCUGAAUAAAAUCCAUGAUCGUGCUCUGUUGCAUUCUCUCACUCUGGGAAGUCAAAUUCUUUUCCAGAAGUGACAGUAUAAAAUGUCUGCUUCUUUUACAACAAUGGUGCUUUGUGUACGUAUUCAUAGGCAGACCUUUUGCUUUAAUGACAAAAAAUGGAUUUUUACAAUCCUUGACUCCCACUAGCAUUGAGGAGUCCAUAAAGUUCGGAAAAAAUGAAUUAGAUUCGAUUGUGACUCACAUGUCCUGAUUGAACCACCGCUGCAAACUCCUACUGCAGCAACAAAUCCUGCUAAUUGUGUUGGGCAAACUAACUACACAGCCUGAGCUGAAGGGAAAAUUUAAACUCCCAAAUAAUACACAUAUUUUUGAAUACAUACUGAGUGCUGCUUUCAAGUUCACAUUGUAGUGGCCUACUGAAUCAGUUCUAGCACAGAUUUGGAGGCCUGUGAAUUCCCUCUGAGCUGGAAACUAUACAGAUCGCAUGUGUUCAUCAGCUGCUGGGGUUAUUUUUCUAAGCACUCUUCAAUGUGAGUGGUAGUGAAAGAUUGUAAAAAUCCAUUUAGUACUUGACUAACUGUAGUUCUAAGCACACACUGAAGAAUAUAAUUUCCAUUGCCACUGAAAGCAUGUGUUUGGAAGAACUGUAUCUAUGAAGCCCACCUGAAUCAUUAAGGUAGUGGUGGGACGGUGAGUGGGGGUGGGAGAGGUAUGCUCAGUUUAUAUGAAAAGAACCAUGUCAGGACAGAUUUUUGCCUAUGAGAAAUGUGUGAGGAAGGAUGUAAAGGGAAAAAAAAAAACAUCUCCAUGACAGUCCUCCCUUCCAGGGACUUUGUCUCUUGGAAGAACCUACUGGAGACAAAGGCAUACUGUGCCUUUGCACAGCUUGGGGGCCUUCACAGCUUUCAUCAUUCUUGCAGCCAUCAACCUGCCUGUAAAGGCUAAUGUUUUGCACUGCACUUGUGUAUUAGCUCUCUGACUGCAAGCCGUCACUUCAAGGAGCUUACACCUCACACCAUGCUUCACGAGCACACCACAGCUGAGUUUCAGUGCUGGAUCUUACUAUUUUAAUUAGAUUGCUAAGUACACUGUGGAUGUUGCUGCUAAACUUAUGUUGACCACAGCAUACACAAAGGUAACCCCGAGCAUCCAGGAUCUAAGAGACAAAAAAAAAUAGUCAGCCCUGUAGUGGGGUUAAAAGGAAGCUAGAUUUGUCUUUGUUCCACAAAGUGUAGCAUAAACUGCAUAAUUAGUCAUUUUGGCCUGAAGCUUUAUCUACAUGACAAUGUAGCACUACUAUUAGUAAUAGCAAUCCAAAGCAUCUUUUCUGAGUUGACAAAAAUUUUAGGUAUGCUAUUUAUAGCAACCAUUGCACACACUGACAUGAGAAAUAAUUGUUACUACAACAUCCCGUUAGUGUUAUUUUUGUAUUCUGUUCCAAUUUGUAUAUAAAUGAAACCUAUGAACAUUUCCUGCACUGACCUCAUGUCUUUGUGUAGAUGGGCUUUAGACCAGAUCCAAGGAAGUGCUAAAUAAUCAUAUAAGCAGCAAGAACAAAUUCAUGGUUGAGCACCAUUAUUCAUCAUGGUGUAAUAUGUGAUCACUGAGCAGGCAGUGGUGAAGAGGAGGCUCAGGGAAGACCUUAGCACUCUGUACAACUCCAUGAAAGGAGGCUGUGGUGAGGUGGGGGUCAGCCUCUUCUCCUGUGUAAGUAGCGAUAGGACUAGAGAGAAUGGUCUCAAGUGCACCCGGGGAGAUUCAGCUUGGUUAUUAGGAAAAAUUUCUUCUCAAAAUGAGUGGUCAGACACUGGAACAGAGUACCCAGGGAGGUGGAGUCACAGUCCAUGGAGGUGCUCAGAAACAUUUAGCUGUGGUACUUAAGGACAUGGUUUAGUGAGAACUAUUGCUGACUAUUGCAGGUAGACGGCUGGACUAUAUCAUCCUGGAGGCCUUUUCCAACCUCAGUGAUUCUAUGAUUCUAUGAACUUUUCCAUGGAUGUGCUUGGAUGAUUUUUCCUUCUCAUUCCUCUUUGUCUCAUCCUCUCUUCUCAUUACUUAUCUUUAAGGAACAGAAACCAGUCUUGACUUGCUACUGAGAAAACUAGGUACAACGAGAUGCCUUCUACUUUUCCCUCUGAGAACCUAUUCUCAAAGCUAAAGAAAUUGGCUCUAAAUUGCCAUAACAGAGUAUCUCGAGCCACAAGCUCUAUUCAGCCUCAGUAGGCAGUGAUAGGCAAAAAGUCAUUCAAUAGAAGAAGUCACUGAGGAAAUCUGCAGAAGUGAUGUUGGCAGGUGGCUAGGAAGCUCUAAUCUCUUUGCAUCACAGUAGAACCAUGUGCUAAAAGGCUAAGUCUUCAGAUUAUGAAGAAAAUUAUGAUUCUUGCCAAGAUCCCUUGAUUGUUUCAGACAAAUUGGAUUAGUUAAAAGGACUUUUGUUCUUACAGAUCAUAUUUAAUUUUGAAGAUUUUUGACUGAAAAUAUGAACCACCUUUUGUCAGUUUGAUGCAUGCAGUUUUGUUUUGCACAUCCUUUCCUGAUGAACUGAGUGCCAUUGCUUUGGAAUGUCAAAACUUCUUUGGAUUUUGAACAUAUUAGAGUUUAUCUAGCUUCAGGAUGAAUCUCAGUGAUAGAAACAACGGUGCCUGUGAUGACCACAUUGUGAUGAAUUUAAAAUAUAUUCACUGGUUUUGCUAGACCUUCAAGAGCUUUAUAAAGUUUACAAAAUAAUUCAGGAUCCUUAAAAGAAAGAAACCUACUACAAAACAGAAGUGUUACUAACAGAGAACAUUUUAGGAUGCCAGAGAAGAAACAGCCACAUUCAGACUGCUUAUAAUAGUGCGCAAGUGAAUUUAGGGUUCAACAGUGAGCAAAUUAAAAUGCCUGUUAGUCAGAUGUAAUAGCUGGUGCUGACUGCACCAGGAGUCAUUUUCCUGUUUGUUUAAUGGGCAGGGGGAGGACCUAUACCUAGUUUCACCAGAAGGAUCCAGCAUUACUAUCAUGGCAACUUCUGUCAUUUACCUGUCCAUGAAAUAUGUAGUGAUAUCUCCAUUAAGUGUAAGUAGUUAAGAUGCUUCCUCUGACACUGUUAUAACUCAAUAACAUAGACUGGGGAUAAGAAAAAAGACAAAAAAAAGAAAGGGAGGAAAAAAAAAAAAAAAAGAGAAAAAGAGUUUUUCCUAAUUGAAGAAAAAGCAGUUUUCCAAAAUUUGAAACAUCCCUUUUAGAGAGGGUACUCCUAUGGGUCUACUUUUUUUUUUUUCUUCACUUUUAAUAACUAAUCUCUCAACCACUCCACAUGACAGGACAUCACUCUUUCCAACCCAGAGAGGAAAGACUGAGGCCCCUCUUUGACUAUCCUGGUGCUUUUCUGACAGCUGAAUGUACUGCUAACUUGAUUUUUUUUUUUUUCCCCCUUGGACCUCUUCUGCUCUGAAGCCGAUCAGUAACAUGGCAGGGACACUGCUUUUCUGUGGUAAUUGAGGUAUUGCUUGUAACAGGUGAGGAUGAGCUGGUGGACAUGCAGCCAACAGCAAGCUGUGUGUAGUAGUAAUUUCACUGGCUUUCGAGACCCUUCUAUCAGAGAACCUCAAUCACUGGGACAUACAAAAGAGGGGACAUGAAACUGAUCUCCCGAAAGGAAGUAAGGAAGAAGACUUCUGAGCUGGCGCUGAAUCACAGAGAAAUCAAACAGCCUUUUAUGCAGUUUUUGCAUACAUGGGCUUUCAGCAACAUGACCACGCAGAGCUGUGAUCUGACACAGCCAAGAGGUGAGCUCCUUGGCGUCAGGUGUGUGGUGCUAACGACAUGUCACGAGCAGCUGCCUGGCACUUGGCAAGCAUCUGCUUCCCAGGUAGCAGGGCUGUUGUCAUUGUUGGCCUGUGAGAGCCUGAACUCCCAGCAUCUCCAAGAGUGCAGUAGUGAACUGGGGGAUAAAGGAUUGGAUGUUCCAAGAAAUGAACAUGAAGUGCUGACUCCUUGAAUUCAUCACAUCUUCCAUGAAGAACAACAUUCUCCUCUCAUGCAGAAGAGUUGAAUGAGGACCCAGCACAACAGUUACGUCAAGCUGAAAGGGACCUCCUCCACAGAUUCAUGCACAGCCAAACUCACAAAAUGGAGAACUGUUCAAAAUGGAGAUUCGGACUUUGGACACAGUUCAGACAUGUUUUAUAGCAGUUUCUGGACAAAGACAGCAAGGCAAAGCUGUUCCAAGUCAAGACACCUAACAUUUCUUACAAGCAGUUCUACCUUAGUACAUCAGUACUCCUGCGCUUCUGUUUCAACCUGCUGGAGUAUGUGUAAUUGAUGUAGGGGUUGGGAAUGUCACCUGACAUGAACAUAAGGAAAAAGUUAAGCUCUCUCAGCUUCCAGCACAUAUUUUUUAAGACAUUUUAAUCCUCUCCCUUUCAUGUAUGAUAUACUCAGGAGGUCAAGGGAGCAUUAACACUUCCCUUCCUCCAUUGCCAUUAACACUGGCCAGCCCAGCAAGAACUGGUGUUGUUGGUUGCUGUAAUUGCUUUCAUGCACACUCUUGCAUAUAUGUUUUUUUCCCUUUCAAACAACUUUUCAUUAUCCUACUUCUUUAACAGUAUUUACAGAUUACAAAUUACCCCUCAUCUAAAUACAAUCAGUUCAAAACACCAGUAAGAGAUCUCACUGUUUCCAGCUUACAUAAAGGUGCUAGGGGGAAGAAAGGACACUUUCCCACCACCGUCUUACUUCCUACUGCAGUGACCAAAGCCAGAAUGGAGAAACCAUUUCACCCUGGUGUGGCAAUUACUGCACAUCACUCUGUGAGAGCUAGAGAGGGGAAAGGCCAUGAUUAGGCAAGCUCUUGAUAUAGAUCAACAAAACAGAUGAAAUUAAACUGGGUGAGCUGGCACCAUCUCAAACAUGGUAAAGCAAAGAUGUUUACUCUGCCUGUGGUUGAGGCAGGGUAAUACUCUUACUAAAUAGCUCUCUGAAAAAGUCACUCAAGGCCACACAGAUUGAUAAAGCUAAAUAUCCCUGUGUAUGUAAGUAAACUCAUUUUUUCAGUGUCAUUUUAUAGCUACCAGUGGGAAGGUAGACAGAUGUGGUAUGUAUGUUUUGCAUGACGCACAAAACAAAGAUAGCAAAGAACCUGAGUAUAUCUCCCAUCUGGGCAUUCUUCUCUGCCUUCUUAAGGAUGAACUUGCUGGCCUUACAGAGAGAAGAAAUUUCGGAGGUUUCAGAGGCCUUCUGGGCAUAGUAGAUCUCAUGCUCUCUGGAAAGGGAAAAAAAUAAGAACCAUGUACAACCCAUGUACACUGAAUAGAUCAAGUCAGAAAGGAGAUAUCUCCUGUUAAGUACUUUAGUGCCACAGAAGCUGAAAUGAUGACCAUGAGUAUAGCGAUACAAGAGAAAAUGGCUCAUCACCUAACAUUAAUUACUUAAUGACACAAAGCUGGUAAUAUAAAAAUUGCUAUUGGUGGUCAAAGUUGAGUAUAGUCAGGAUGGCAUAGCACUCUGAACUCCAAAUAUCUAUUUCACAAUCUACCUCAAAUUAAAUUCUCCUUUUUUCUCCCUUACUGAGACUAUCUGGCUUCUUUUUCAUUCUUAUUUUUUGCUUCCUUCAUUGUACCCUGUUUUCCCCCAGUCUAGCCCUCCUGGGAUAGACUAAGCUGGAAAAACUUCAGUUUGCUGCUAUUUUGCUCUGCACUACUUAGCCUCAUAAAGUAGCUUCAGAGACGGUCAGUUUCUCGCAUACAAGGACAAGAUGUCAUGAGGCACGUAGUAGAAGAGUAAACCCAAGCUCUGAUUAUUUUCCUGAAAUGGGAAAAGAGGAAAUGAGGGGAAAGGGAUAAAGGGGGAUUAAAAAUACAGAUAUAUACCAGAAUAAGCAGAAGUGAAAGAUACUACUUCUCACAGAAAAUUUAAUAACUGGGGUCAGUUGAAACCUCCCAGAGCAUCCUCUAGAGAAUAGGAGUCACCCUCCCCCUCACUCAGCCUGGAAACUAGCUACCAGUCCUGUUUAGUCACACACGGAGGCUAAAACCUUCUCUUUGUUAUGUUCACCUACAGCCAGGGUUACCUCACCUUCUAUGUUUCUGCUGGCCACUUCCAUAUGAUCUCAUCUCCACAGCAAACUUGGUGAGAGCGCAGCUCUUCUGCUCCCCAGAAACCCAGUCCUUAGCAGUCAGCUUGGAAAAAAGCUGCCUUAGCAGAGCAGAUCCCUGGCCACUUGUUGGGCUGUUAUGGAUGCCAACUGGGGGUCCAGCUCCACUCCUUGCUCAUCCCUCUCAAGAGGACCACUGAAAUCCCUUCUUCACUCAAAGACAAUCACCACUCAUUUGAUGGCAAAACUCCUAUUGACUUCAGUGGCACAGGAUCAAGCUUGAUGUGCCCAGUGGACUGCGGAAGCCUUGGACAAGCAUGCACAGCAGAAGUGAGCCAAUUGUAACAUUAGCUAUGGAAAUAAAAGCCUUCCAACAAGACAGCUAGAGCUAAAUUGGGGACAAUUAAAGGAAGUACUUGAGCUCUUCUUCCUACCUGCAAUACAGCAAAAGGCCAGGCUCUGAACAAAUUUUGUGGCCAAAGCCAGGUAAGGCAAGAACACACUUCAGAGAGAAAGAUAGAUGCACAAGGAAUUUCUCCUUUUCUACCCUCUCGAGGCAUCUUCCUGUGUAGAAAGGGCACAGAGUUGAAUUCAGUGAGACAGCAUCUAUGCUGGCUGGCUUACUGAACAUUUUCUUUGCAUGUUAUUUAACAACAAACACACUGUGUGACCUGAAGUCACACAGUUGGGAAUUGGACUAAGACAUGCUGUUUAUGUUUCUGUCCUUUUUUUUUCCCCACACACAGGAAAGGACAAAUACUUUCAAUUGUCACAAUAAUGUUCAGAACAUAAGUUGAAACAUCAAACUCAUGAUAUCAAAGGAAACCACACCACCAGAUUUUUGCUAUCCAUUCCCAAAUUGUAUCAGUAGUAAUAUAUAAGACAGAGAUAAUAACAUAAGUAUGCAUAAGCUGAAUAAGGUCAGAGAAAAACACAUAAAAUGUUUACACAUCACAGGAGGGGGCAAGGGCAUGGCACAGGAAACAGAAAACUGGCUGUGAGUCCAGAUAUUAGAGAAAUAAUCAAAUAACACAAUGGGACAGCUGGUGGGAUUGGGGCAUGCAAAGCAGAAAGUGUGCGCUGUUCAGAGAAGCUAUGAAUAAAUGCAGGGACAGUGUGAUAUAAUAACGAUAUGGCAAUUUAAUGAUAACAUGAAUUCAGAACAAGUUUAUCUUACCAGUCACUGCUGAAAAAGAUGAAAAAGAAUCUUCACUAAAGUGGUUGUAGGGAGACCUUUUUUUCCAGUACCAGCUGCAUUCAUUUGUACUGUCACUUUUUUAUUUUUAUUUAUUUAUUUAAGUAAAAAAUCCCUGGUAAACACUAGGAAAAAUAAUUUUUAAGCAUCUACACUAUGGAAACGUGAGUAUUAGCAGAUGUAUAGUUGAAAGUAGGCUUCAGUGAGUUUCCAUAAAGAAAGAAAUCCAGUCCAUUAUUUCCUGUCCACAGAUUUCCUUGAACAGUCUAUAAAGUUGCUUACAAAAUUCUUCUUUUUAGCUUAGUCUGAGAAUAAUUUCUAAAACCAAUUUUGCUACUGCAAGUUCUUUGUGAGCAGCUUAUUGGAGGUUUACAACAACAAAUAUAAAAACCAGUGUUUUGAUUUGUUAGUCACAUGGUAUUUCUUGCCUCAACUGGAUAAUUUUAUCUCUGAAAAUAAGGUGUUUGGUGUAAAUUUCAGGGAUUCUAGGUUUGCUAUCAGUAUAUGCUUACAAAAUUGGCUGUUUUGAAGCCAUUUCUUGCGAGGAAAUCCUUCUAUCAGACUAUUCUUAGGAAGCAAAUGUAAAAUGGACACAAAGCAUAUUUAUUUAAAAACCUACAGAAAUGUUUACUAGUUCUUUUCAGAGAACUGCAAUAGUUUGUGAACCUCUUCAGCUAAUUAGAGCAGUAUCAUUAUUCUAGUUGUUGAAUUGUUGGGUUUUUUCUUUUCUUUCUUUCUUUCUUUUUUUUUUUUUUUUUUUUUGAGAAUCACAUUUGUAGUCUAAUUAUCAUUGUAAAUCACUGUAGCACUUCCUUAUUUAUUUAUUUAUUUAUUUAUUUAAUUUAUCUCUGUGCAUAGAAAGCAAUAGAGGGCAGUUUCCAGUUAGUCCCCUUUCUUCCACACCGAGCAGAGAUUAACUGAAGAUUUCAGUAUCCAACCCUACGUGCUCCCCUACCCUGUCUCCCUCCACCAGAGGAGGGUGAAUACCCCCCGUAUGACAGCAUUGACUGAGGAGGGACAGAGGAUCCCAUACCAGUGCAAACCUCUGACAACUGGAGGUAGAGCAGAGCAGGAAACAGGAAAGGGAAACGUGUGCCCUGCCUGGCCUGUUUUCUGUAACCAAAAAGAAAGGUACACACAUAUUCUGUCGUCCUGUCCUUCCUGCCCUUCUGCCUUUGAGAGUAGGCAGUGCAUAUUCAUCUGUAGCAAAGGCUGUAAUGGGAAUUAAGGCUUAGGAGAGCCUAUAUGCAGUAGUGAGUUCACAAAGUCAGAGACUGCCUUCUGUUUGUCUCUGUGCAGUAAGACAGAAUUUGAAUGCUCGCUUAGAUUCCUACUUCCAGCCUCCUCCAAGUCAGUUUGGAG
ensembl:lncRNA